CAUUCAGCUGGACUCUUCGAUGGCCGCGCCUCCUGGUCAGUGUGUGUAGAGAGGCGCUGGCGCUAGUACAGUAGCAGAGUCCGAGUCCAGCGACCGCUGCACAACAGGAGAACGCGUCACCCGCCGCGGGUGCUAUGCUGCCGAAUCCGACGCAUACCAGCUGCACUCUACGCUUAAGGCAAACGGGAUCCGACCAAUCUCCCACGAACGAGGUGAGAGCAGGAUGAGGAGGAGGA